UACGGAGGGUGCGAGCGUUGUCCGGAAUCAUUGGGCGUAAAGGGCGCGUAGGCGGCCUGGCAAGUGGAAGGUGAAAUCCCUCGGCUUAACCGAGGAACUGCCCUCCAAACUGCUUGGCUUGAGUCCGGGAGAGGUGAGUGGAAUUCCUGGUGUAGCGGUGAAAUGCGCAGAUAUCAGGAGGAACACCGGCGGCGAAGGCGGGUCUCUGGGCCGAUACUGACGCUGAGGAGCGAAAGCGUGGGGAGCGAACAGG
rnacentral:rRNA from 1 species